rnacentral:lncRNA from 1 species
GUUGUGAUGCCGUAUAGUUGUUACAACUGUACAUUUUUCAAACACACCACAUUCUCCUCUUAUCUUAAUCUCCAAGCUUUAUAGUUUUAUUCUAGCUUUCAUUCUGGUUACAUCUUGCACACCUUAAAAACUAGCCCCGCCUUUACAUGUCUGUCUGCAAGCAGCCAAGUAGUCAAACAGUCCGAAUAUUUAGAACACCACCUCUGCAAGAUGUUCACAGAACCGCAAGAUGUAAGGAUUGGAGAGAAGGAGUGUCCAAAGUGGAGUAUAUACUGUAACCCACCAAUCCUGGUGGGAACAUGUCUUUGUCUGGACACAGCUGUGUCGACACUUUGGGAAGAAUUAAACUUGGUUAAGCUUCUCUAGUGUCCAAGUAAACUCAUCAUCAGCUGUAGUUGCACAUGGAUUUUGAACCUGGCUGUGGAGACAAUAAUGGAAGCCUUAAGCCUGAACCCAAACCCACCGAUCCUGAUCCUACCGAGGGUGGCAGCGGUGGCCCAGCGAGUCCUAAACCAAGAAAGAUUGUAGCCUUCACAGCAAAACUUAACAUCUGUGACAGCUACCCAACUCACAGAGGAAUCCUGAAGUUUACCAACAUCCUGGUCAAUGAGGGAGAUGGCUACAGUACCGACACAGGAAAAUUCACCUGCUCGCUAGCUGGCUUGUACCACUUGACACUGUACAUGUCCACCUACGGGCGCGCCCAGUGUAGUAUCUUAAAGAAUGGCCAGCGGGUUGUCUCAGCAUACCAUACCAGCCUGCCAGACAAUUGUUGCCAUGUAGCCAGCAUUGGUAGUGUGAUUGAGCUCACUAAAGGAGAGCAUGUUUGGGUUAAUCUGUGGGGGCCUACAAGGCAUGACAUUUUUGCUACUGAAGAGAAGGGUCAUCUAAUUUGUAAUUGAUGAAAUUUCAAUAUUUCUCAGUGUUUUAGAAUUUGUUGUUUAUUAGGCUAAAUCUGUGUGCCCAAUGCCACCCC